rnacentral:rRNA from 1 species
CCCUUAGAUGUUCUGGGCCGCACGCGCGCUACACUGAUGCAUUCAACGAGUCUAAAACCUGCUCUGAUAGGGGUGGGUAAUCUUUUGAAUGUGCAUCGUGAUUGGGAUAGAUGAUUGCAAUUUUUCAUCUUCAACGAGGAAUGCCUAGUAAACGCAAGUCAUCAGCUUGCAUUGAUUACGUCCCUGCCCUUUGUACACACCGCCCGUCGCUCCUACCGAUUGAAUGAUCCGAUGAAUAAUUCGGACUGCAGCACUGCUUGGUCUCCAGGCUUUGCAGCGGAAAGUUUAGUGAACCUUAUCACUUAGAGGAAGGAGAAGUCGUAACA